AUUUAUAUAGUUUAAAUAAAACAUUACAUUUUCACUGUAAAAAUAAAAUCUUAAUUUUUUAUAAAUU
rnacentral:tRNA from 1 species